AAGACAUCAUGAAUGAGAUUGUGAAGGAUGCAUUUGAAUUAUGUGAACCUGCUUUUCAGUGUAAGAGUAAUGACAUGAGUAAGAGGAAAAUUAAGGGAAAGAGUAAGGGGAAGAGUAAGGGAAAGAGUACGGAAACAAGUUUAUCUUCCCUGAUCCAGUCACUUGAUACUAUUGAUUUGAAUCCUUCAUACAACUACUGGUGAUCAUUUCAUUUAUAAGGCAAAUCUCGUGUUAGAUAUUCA